rnacentral:misc_RNA from 1 species
GAUGAAGAACGCAGCGAAAUGCGAUAAGUAAUGUGAAUUGCAGAAUUCAGUGAAUCAUCGAAUCUUUGAACGCACAUUGCGCCCGCCAGUAUUCUGGCGGGCAUGCCUGUUCGAGCGUCAUUUCAACCAUCAAGCCCCAGGCUUGUGUUGGGGACCUGCGGCUGCCGCAGGCCCUGAAAACCAGUGGCGGGCUCGCUAGUCACACCGAGCGUAGUAGCAUACACAUCGCUCAGGGCGUGCUGCGGGUUCCGGCCGUUAAACCCCUUUUUUACCCAAGGUUGACCUCGGAUCAGGUAGGAAGACCCGCUGAACUUAAGCAUAUCAAUAAGCCGGAGGA